GAUGAACGCUGGCGGCGUGCCUAAUACAUGCAAGUCGGGCGAACGGACGAGAAGCUUGCUUCUCUGAUGUUAGCGGCGGACGGGUGAGUAACACGUGGAUAACCUACCUAUAAGACUGGGAUAACUUCGGGAAACCGGAGCUAAUACCGGAUAAUAUUUUGAACCGCAUGGUUCAAAAGUGAAAGACGGUCUUGCUGUCACUUAUAGAUGGAUCCGCGCUGCAUUAGCUAGUUGGUAAGGUAACGGCUUACCAAGGCAACGAUGCAUAGCCGACCUGAGAGGGUGAUCGGCCACACUGGAACUGAGACACGGUCCAGACUCCUACGGGAGGCAGCAGUAGGGAAUCUUACGCAAUGGGCGAAAGCCUGACGGAGCAACGCCGCGUGAGUGAUGAAGGUCUUCGGAUCGUAAAACUCUGUUAUUAGGGAAGAACAUAUGUGUAAGUAACUGUGCACAUCUUGACGGUACCUAAUCAGAAAGCCACGGCUAACUACGUG
rnacentral:rRNA from 1 species